rnacentral:lncRNA from 1 species
UUUUGUGGCCUUUUUCCGCUGGACGAACUUGGCGCCCCGGCCUUCGGGCGGUUAAUUUCGGACGCGGCUGUGCCCACGGCCUAUUUUUGGCACACGGAGGCCCCUCGCAAAGUCUCGCGGCAUUCCGAGUCCGGCGGACGAAGUUGGCCAGCAUCACCCCCCUAGGCUAUAGCCCACCCGUUUUUGUGGCCUUUUUCCGCUGGACGAACAUGGCGCCCUGGCCAUCGGGCGGUUAUUUUUGGGUGUGCCUUUGUCCGCGGCCUAUUUUUGGCACACGGAGGCCCCUCGCAAAGUCAUGCGGCAUUCCGAGUCUGGCGGACGAAUUUGGCCAGCCCCACCCCCCAAGGCUAUAGCCCACCCAUUUUUGUGGCCUUUUUCCGCUGGAUGAACUUGGCGCCCCGACCUUCGAGCGGUUAAUUUUGGGCGCGGCUUUACCCGCCGCCUAGUUUUUGAACACGGAGGCCCCUCACAAAGUCUCGCGGCAUUCCGAGUCCGACGGACGAAGUUGGCCAGCAUCACCCCCCAAGGCUAUAGCCCACCCGUUUUUGUGGCCUUUUUCCGCUGGACGAACUUGGCGCCCCGGCCUUCGGGCUGUUAAUUUUCGACGCCGGUUUGCCCACGGCCUAUUUUUGGCACACGGAGGCCCCUCGCAAAGUCUCGAGGCAUUCCGAGUCCGGCGGACGAAGUUGGCCAGCCCCACCCCCCACGGCUAUAGCCCACCCGUUUUUGUGGCCUUUUUCCGCGGGACGAACUUGGCGCCCCGGCCUUCGGGCGGUUAAUUUUGGGUGCGGCUUUGCCCGCGGCCUAUUUUUGGCACAUGGAGGCCCCUCGCAAAGUCUCGCGGCAUUCCGAGUCCGGCGGACGAAGUUGGCCAGCAUCACCCCCCAAGGCUAUAGCCCACCCGAUUUUGUGGCCUUUUUCCGCGGGACGAACUUGGCGCCCCGGCCUUCGGGCAGUUAAUUUUGGACGCGGCUUUGCCCGCGGCCUAUUUUUGGCACACGGAGGCCCCUCGCAAAGCCUCGCGGCAUUCCGAGUCCGGCGGACGAAGUUGGCCAGCAUCACCCCACAAGGCUAUAGCCCACCCGUUUUUGUGGCCUUUUUCCGCUGGACGAACUUGGCGCCCCGGCCUUCGGGCGGUUAAUUUUGGACGCGGCUUUUCCCACGACCUNNNNNNNNNNNNNNNNNNNNNNNNNNNNNNNNNNNNNNNNNNNNNNNNNNNNNNNNNNNNNNNNNNNNNNNNNNNNNNNNNNNNNNNNNNNNNNNNNNNNNNNNNNNNNNNNNNNNNNNNNNNNNNNNNNNNNNNNNNNNNNNNNNNNNNNNNNNNNNNNNNNNNNNNNNNNNNNNNNNNUAUUUUUGGCACACGGAGGCCCCUCGCAAAGUCUCGCGGCAUUCCGAGUCUGGCGGACGAAUUUGGCCAGCCCCACCCCCCAAGGUUAUAGCCCACCCGUUUUUGUGGCCUUUUUCCGCUGGAUGAACUUGGCGCCCCGACCUUCGAGCGGUUAAUUUUGGGCGCGGCUUUACCCGCCGCCUAGUUUUUGAACACGGAGGCCCCUCACAAAGUCUCGCGGCAUUCCGAGUCCGACGGACGAAGUUGGCCAGCAUCACCCCCCAAGGCUAUAGCCCACCCGUUUUUGUGGCCUUUUUCCGCUGGACGAACUUGGCGCCCCGGCCUUCGGGCUGUUAAUUUUCGACGCCGCUUUGCCCACGGCCUAUUUUUGGCACACGGAGGCCCCUCGCAAAGUCUCGAGGCAUUCCGAGUCCGGCGGACGAAGUUGGCCAGCCCCACCCCCCACGGCUAUAGCCCACCCGUUUUUGUGGCCUUUUUCCGCGGGACGAACUUGGCGCCCCGGCCUUCGGGCGGUUAAUUUUGGGUGCGGCUUUGCCCGCGGCCUAUUUUUGGCACAUGGAGGCCCCUCGCAAAGUCUCGCGGCAUUCCGAGUCCGGCGGACGAAGUUGGCCAGCAUCACCCCCCAAGGCUAUAGCCCACCCGUUUUUGUGGCCUUUUUCCGCGGGACGAACUUGGCGCCCCGGCCUUCGGGCAGUUAAUUUUGGACGCGGCUUUGCCCGCGGCCUAUUUUUGGCACACGGAGGCCCCUCGCAAAGCCUCGCGGCAUUCCGAGUCCGGCGGACGAAGUGGGCCAGCAUCACCCCACAAGGCUAUAGCCCACCCGUUUUUGUGGCCUUUUUCCGCUGGACGAACUUGGCGCCCCGGCCUUCGGGCGGUUAAUUUUGGACGCGGCUUUGCCCACGACCUAUUUUUGGCACACGGAGGCCCCUCGCAAAGUCUCGCGGCAUUCCGAGUCCGGCGGACGAAGUUGGCCAGCAUCACCCCCCUAGGCUAUAGCCCACCCGUUUUUGUGGCCUUUUUCCGCUGGACGAACAUGGCGCCCUGGCCAUCGGGCGGUUAUUUUUGGGUGUGGCUUUGUCCGCGGCCUAUUUUUGGCACACGGAGGCCCCUCGCAAAGUCAUGCGGCAUUCCGAGUCUGGCGGACGAAUUUGGCCAGCCCCACCCCCCAAGGCUAUAGCCCACCCGUUUUUGUGGCCUUUUUCCGCUGGAUGAACUUGGCGCCCCGACCUUCGAGUGGUUAAUUUUGGGCGCGGCUUUACCCGCCGCCUAGUUUUUGAACACGGAGGCCCCUCACAAAGUCUCGCGGCAUUCCGAGUCCGACGGACGAAGUUGGCCAGCAUCACCCCCCAAGGCUAUAGCCCACCCGUUUUUGUGGCCUUUUUCCGCUGGACGAACUUGGCGCCCCGGCCUUCGGGCUGUUAAUUUUCGACGCCGCUUUGCCCACGGCCUAUUUUUGGCACACGGAGGCCCCUCGCAAAGUCUCGAGGCAUUCCGAGUCCGGCGGACGAAGUUGGCCAGCCCCACCCCCCACGGCUAUAGCCCACCCGUUUUUGUGGCCUUUUUCCGCUGGACGAACUUGGCGCCCCGGCCUUCGGGCUGUUAAUUUUCGACGCCGCUUUGCCCACGGCCUAUUUUNNNNNNNNNNNNNNNNNNNNNNNNNNNNNNNNNNNNNNNNNNNNNNNNNNNNNNNNNNNNNNNNNNNNNNNNNNNNNNNNNNNNNNNNNNNNNNNNNNNNNNNNNNNNNNNNNNNNNNNNNNNNNNNNNNNNNNNNNNNNNNNNNNNNNNNNNNNNNNNNNNNNNNNNNNNNNNNNNNNNNNNNNNNNNNNNNNNNNNNNNNNNNNNNNNNNNNNNGAGUCCGGCGGACGAAGUUGGCCAGCAUCACCCCCCAAGGCUAUAGCCCACCCGUUUUUGUGGCCUUUUUCCGCGGGACGAACUUGGCGCCCCGGCCUUCGGGCUGUUAAUUUUGGGUUCGGCUUUGUCCGCGGCCUAUUUUUGGCACAUGGGGGCCCCUCGCAAAGUCUCGCGGCAUUCCGAGUCCGGCGGACGAAGUUGGCCAGCCCCACACCCCAAGGCUAUAGCCCACCCUUUUUUGUGGCCUUUUUCCGCAGGACGAACUUGGCGCCCCGGCCGUCGGGCGGUUAUUUUUGGGCGCAGCUUUUCCCGCGGCCUAUUUUUGACACAUCGAGGCCCCUCACAAAGUCUCGCGGCAUUCCGAGUCCGGCGGACGAAUUUGGCCAGCCCCACCCCCCAAGGCUAUAGCCCACCCGUUUUUGUGGCCUUUUUCCGCUGGAUGAACUUGGCGCCCCGACCUUCGAGCGGUUAAUUUUGGGCGCGGCUUUGCCCACGGCCUAUUUUUGGAACACGGAGGCCCCUCACAUAGUCUCGCGGCAUUCCGAAUCCGACGGACGAAGUUGGCCAGCCCCACCCCCCAAGGCUAUAGCCCACCCGUUUUUGUGGCCUUUUUCCGCGGGACGAACUUGGCGCCCCGGCCGUUGGUCGGUUAUUUUUGGGCGCGGCUUUACCCACGGCCUAUUUUUGGCACACGGAGGUCCCUCGCAAAGUCUCGCAGCAUUCCGAGUCCGGCGGACGAAGUUGGCCAGCAUCACCCCCCAAGGCUAUAGCCCACCCGUUUUUGUGGCCUUUUUCCGCAGGACGAACUUGGCGCCCCGGCCGUCGGGCAGUUAUUUUUGGGAGUGGCUUUGCCCACGGCCUAAUUUUUGAACACGGAGGCCCCUCACAAAGUCUCGCGGCAUUCCGAAUCCGACGGACGAAGUUGGCCAGCCCCACCCCCCAAGGCUAUAGCCCACCCGUUUUUGUGGCCUUUUUCCGCUGGACGAACUUGGCGCCCCGGCCUUCGGGCGGUUAAUUUUGGACGCGGCUUUGCCCACGGCCUAUUUUUGGCACACGGAGGCCCCUCGCAAAGUCUCGCGGCAUUCCGAGUCCGGCGGACGAAGUUGGCCAGCAUCACCCCCCAAGGCUAUAGCCCACCCGUUUUUGUGGCCUUUUUCCGAGGGACGAACUUGGCGCCCCGACCUUCGGGCGGUUAAUUUUGGACGCGGCCUUGCCCGCGGCCUAUUUUUGGCACACGGAGGCCCCAUGCAAAGUCUCGCGGCAUUCCGAGUCCGGCAGACGAAGUUGGCCAGCAUCACCCCCCAAGGCUAUAGUCCACCCGUUUUUGUGGCCUUUUUCCGCUGGACGAACUUGGCGCCCCGGCCUUCGGGCGGUUAAUUUUGGGCGCGGCUUUGCCCGCGGCCUAUUUUUGGCACAUGGGGGCCCCUCGCAAAGUCUCGCGGCAUUCCGAGUCCGGCGGACGAAGUUGGCCAGCCCCACACCCCAAGGCUAUAGCCCACCCGUUUUUGUGGCCUUUUUCCGCUGGACGAACUUGGCGCCCCGGCCGUCGGGCGGCUAUUUUUUGGCGCGGCUUUUCCCACGGCCUAUUUUUGGCACACAGAGGCCCCUCGCAAACUCUCGCGGCAUUCCGAGUCCGGCGGACGAAGUUGGCCAGCCCCACCCCCCAAGGCUGCCCAACCGUAUUUGUGGCCUCUUUCCGCUGGAUGAACUUGGCGCCCCGGCCUUCGGGCGGUUAAUUUUGGGCGCGGCUUUGCCCGCGGCCUAGUUUUUGCACACGGAGGACCCUCGCAAAAUCUCGCGGCAUUCCGAGUCCGGCGGACGAAGUUGGCCAGCCCCACCCCCCAAGGCUAUAGCCCACCCGUUUUUGUGGCUUUUUUCCAGUGGACGAACUUGGCGCCCCGGCCUUCGGGUGGUUAAUUUUGGGCGCGGCUUUGCCCGCGGCCUAUUUUUGGCACACGGAGGCCCCUCGUAAAGUCUCACGGCUUUCCGAGUCCGGCGGACGAAGUUGGCCAGCCCCACCCCCCAAGGCUAUAGCCCACCCGUUUUUGUGGCCUUUUUCCGGUGGGUGAACUAGGCGCCCCGGCCUUCGGGCGGUUAAUUUUGGGCGCGGCUUUGCCCGCGGCCUAGUUUUUGCACAUGGAGGCCCCUCGCAAAGUCUCACGGCAUUCCGAGUCCGGCGGACGAAGUUGGCCAGCCCCACCCCCCAAGGCUAUAGCCCACCCGUUUUUGUUGCCUUUUUCCGCUGGAUGAACUUGGCGCCCCGGCCUUCGGGCGGUUAAUUUUGGGCGCGGCUUUGCCCGCGGCCUAGUUUUUGCACACGGAGGCCCUCGCAAAAUCUCGCGGCAUUCCGAGUCCGGCGGACGAAGUUGGCCAGCCCCACCCCCCAAGGCUAUAGCCCACCCGUUUUUGUGGCCUUUUCCGGUGGAUGAACUAGGCGCCCCGGCCUUCGGGCAGUUAAUUUUGGGCGCGGCUUUGCCCGUGGCCUAUUUUUGGCACAUGGAGGCCCCUCGCAAAGUCUCGCGGCAUUCCGAGUCCGGCGGACGAAGUUGGCCAGCAUCACCCCCCAAGGCUAUAGCCCACCCGUUUUUGUGGCCUUUUUCCGCAGGACGAACUUGGCGCCCCGGCCGUCGGGCAGUUAUUUUUGGGCGUGGCUUUGCCCGCAGCCUAUUUUUGGCACACGGAGGCCCCUUGCAAAGUCUCGCGGCAUUCUGAGUCCGGCAGACGAAGUUGGCCAGCAUCACCCCCCAAGGCUAUAGUCCACCCGUUUUUGUGGCCUUUUUCCGCUGGACGAACUUGGCGCCCCGGCCUUCGGGCGGUUAAUUUUGGGCGUGGCUUUGCCCGCGGCCUAUUUUUGGCACAUGGAGGCCCCUCGCAAAGUCUCGCGGCAUUCCGAGUCCGGCGGACGAAGUUGGCCAGCCCCACACCCCAAGGCUAUAGCCCACCCGUUUUUGUGGCCUUUUUCCGCUGGACGAACUUGGCGCCCCGGCCGUCGGGCGGUUAUUUUUUGGCGAGGCUUUUCCCGCGGCCUAUUUUUGGCACACGGAGGCCCCUCGCAAACUCUUGCGGCAUUCCGAGUCUAGCGGACGAAGUCGGCCAGCCCCACCCCCCAAGGCUAUGGCCCAACCGUAUUUGUGGCCUUUUUUCGCUGGAUGAACUUGGCGCCCCGGCCUUCGGGCGGUUAAUUUUGGGCGCGGCUUUGCCCGCGGCCUAUUUUUGGCACACGGAGGCCCCUCGCAAAGUCUCGAGGCAUUCCGAAGCCGGCGGACGAAGUCGGCCAGCCCCACCCCCCAAGGCUAUAGCCCACCCGUUUUUGUGGCCUUAUUCCGCUGGAUGAACUUGGCGCCCCGGCCUUCGGGCGGUUAUUUUUGGGCGUGGCUUUGUCCGCGGCCUAGUUUUUGCACACGGAGGCCCCUCACAAAGUCUCGCGACAUUCCGAGUCCGGUGGACGAAGUUGGCCAGCAUCACCACCCAAGGCUAUAGCCCACCCGUUUUUGUGGCCUUUUUCCGCUGGACAAACAUGGCGCCCCAGCCGUCGGGCGGUUAUUUUUGGGCGCGGGUUUGCCCGCGGCCUAUUUUUGGCACACGAAGGCCCCUCGCAAAGUCUCGUGGCAUUCCGAGUCCGGCGGACGAAGUUGGCCAGCCCCACCCCCAAGGCUAUAGCCCACCCGUUUUUGUGGCCUUUUUCCGCUGGACGAACUUGGCGCCCCGGCCUUCGGGCGGUUAUUUUUGGGCGCGGCUUUGCCCGUGGCCUAUUUUUGGCACAUGGAGGCCCCUCACAAAGUCUCGCGGCAUUCCGCGUCCGGCGGACGAAGUUGGCCAGCCCCACCCCCCAAGUCUAUAGCCCACCCGUUUUUGUGGCCUUUUUCCGCUGGACGAACUUGGCGCCCCGGCCUUCGGGUGGUUAUUUUUGGGUGCGGCUUUGCCCGCGGCCUAUUUUUGGCACACGGAGGCCCCUCGCAAAGUCUCGCGGCAUUCCGAGUCCGGCGGACGAAGUUGGCCAGCAUCACCCCCCAAGGCUAUAGCCCACCCGUUUUUGUGGCCUUUUUCCGCUGGACGAACUAGGCGCCCCAGCCGUCGGGCUGUUAUUUUUGGGCGCGGCUUUGGCCGCGGCCUAUUUUUGGCACACGAAGGCCUCUCGCAAAGUCUCGUGGCAUUCCGAGUCCGGCGGACGAAGUUGGCCAGCCCCACCCCCAAGGCUAUAGCCCACCCGUUUUUGUGGGCUUUUUCUGCUGGACGAACUUGGCGCCCCGGCCUUCGGGCGGUUAUUUUUGGGUACGACUUUGCCCGCGGCCUAUUUUUGGCACACGGAGGCCCCUCACAAAGUCUCGCGGCAUUCCGAGUCCGGCGGACGAAGUUGGCUACCCCACCCCCCAAGGCUAUAGCCCACCCGUUUUUGUGUCCUUUUUCCGCUGGACGAACUUGGCGCCCCGGCCUUCGGGUAGUUAAUUUUGGGCGCCGCUUUGCCUGCAGCCUAUUUUUGGCACACGGAGGCCCCUCGCAAAGUCUCGCGGCAUACUGAGUCCGGCGGACGAAGUCGGCCAGCCCCACCCCCCAAAGCUAUAGCCCACCCGUUUUUGUGGCCUUUUUCCGCUGGACGAUCUUGGCGCCCCGGCCUUCGGGCUGUAAUUUUUGGGCGCGGCUUUGUCCGUGGCAUAGUUUUGGUACACGGAGCCCUCUCGCAAAGUCUCGUGGCAUUCCGAGUCCGGCGGGCGAAGGUUGCCAGCCCCACCCCCCAAGGCUAUAGCCUAUCCGUUUUUGUGGCCUUUUUGCGCUGGACGAACUUGGCGCCCCAGCCUUCGGGCAGUUAAUUUUGGGCGCGGCAUUGCCCGCGGCCUAUUUUUGGCACACGGAGGCCCCUCGGAAAGUCUCGCGCAAUUCCGAGUCCGGCGGACGAAGUUGGCCAGCCCCACCCCCCAAGGCUAUAGCCCACCCGUUUUUGUGGCCUUUUUCCGCUGGACGAACUUGGCGCCACGGCCUUCGGGUAGUUAUUUUUGGCCGCGGCUUUGCCCGCGGCCUAUUUUUGGUACACGCAGGCCCCUCGCAAAGUCUCGCGGCAUUCCGAAUCCGGCGGACGAAGUUGGCCAGCCCCACCCCCCAAGGCUAUAGCCCACCCGUUUUUGUGGCCUUUUUCCGCUGGACUAACUUGGCGCCCCGGCCUUCAGGCAGUUAUUUUUGGGCGCGGCUUUGCCCACAGCCUAUUUUUGGCACACGGAGGCCCCUUGCAACGUCUCGCGGCAUUCCGAGUCCGGCGGACGAAGUUGGCCAGCCCCACCCGUUUUUGUUGCCUUUUUCCGCUGGACGAACUUGGCGCCCCGGCCUUCGGGCGGUUAUUUUUGGGCGCGGCUUUGCCCGCGGCAUAUUUUUGGAACACGGAGGCCCCUCGCAAAGUCUCGCGGCAUUCCGUCCCCGGCGGACGAAGUUGGCCAGCCCCACCCCCCAAGGCUAUAGCCCACCCGUUUUUGUGGCCUUUUUCCGCUGGACGAACUUGGCGCCCCGGCCUUCGGGUAGUUAAUUUUGGGCGCCGCUUUGCCUGCGG